GAUGAACGCUGGCGGCGUGCCUAAUACAUGCAAGUCGAGCGAACAGACGAGGAGCUUGCUCCUCUGACGUUAGCGGCGGACGGGUGAGUAACACGUGGAUGACCUACCUAUAAGACUGGGAUAACUUCGGGAAACCGGAGCUAAUACCGGAUAAUAUAUUGAACCGCAUGGUUCAAUAGUGAAAGACGGUUUUGCUGUCACUUAUAGAUGGAUCCGCGCCGCAUUAGCUAGUUGGUAAGGUAACGGCCUACCAAGGCAACGAUGCGUAGCCGACCUGAGAGGGUGAUCGGCCACACUGGAACUGAGACACGGUCCAGACUCCUACGGGAGGCAGCAGUAGGGAAUCUUCCGCAAUGGGCGAAAGCCUGACGGAGCAACGCCGCGUGAGUGAUGAAGGUCUUCGGAUCGUAAAACUCUGUUAUUAGGGAAGAACAAAUGUGUAAGUAACUAUGCACGUCUUGACGGUACCUAAUCAGAAAGCCACGGCUAACUACGUG
rnacentral:rRNA from 1 species